rnacentral:rRNA from 1 species
CCUACGGGGUGCAGCAGUGGGGAAUAUUGCACAAUGGGCGCAAGCCUGAUGCAGCCAUGCCGCGUGUAUGAAGAAGGCCUUCGGGUUGUAAAGUACUUUCAGCGGGGAGGAAGGCGAUAAGGUUAAUAACCUUGUCGAUUGACGUUACCCGCAGAAGAAGCACCGGCUAACUCCGUGCCAGCAGCCGCGGUAAUACGGAGGGUGCAAGCGUUAAUCGGAAUUACUGGGCGUAAAGCGCACGCAGGCGGUCUGUCAAGUCGGAUGUGAAAUCCCCGGGCUCAGCCUGGGAACUGCAUUCGAAACUGGCAGGCUAGAGUCUUGUAGAGGGGGGUAGAAUUCCAGGUGUAGCGGUGAAAUGCGUAGAAAUCUGGAGGAAUACCGGUGGCGGAGGCGGCCCCCUGGACAAAGACCGACGCUCAGGUGCGAAAGCGUGGGGAGCAAACAGGAUUAGAUACCCUCGUAGUC